ACACACACACACACACACACACACACACACACACACACACACACACACACACACACACACACACACACACUGAAACCAACAACAGGGCAGUUUGAAAAAGAAGCAGCUGUCUUGGCAGGUAGCCAUGUUACUCCAGGGAGGAACAGACAUGGAACAGGAGGAGGAGGAGGAGGUGGAGGAGGUGGAGGAGGAGGAGGAGGAGGAGGAGGAGGAGGAGGAGGAGGGCAAACAGGGGGUGAUGAGGAGGUGGAGGAGGAGGAGAAGGGAGAAGGAAAAGGGGACAGGUCCCCCCCAGUACAGACUGAACUAAGUUUGUUCUUCUCUGUGGAAACACUCAGGUGGACUCAGGUGGACUCAGGUGGACUGAGG